GAUGAACGCUGGCGGCGUGCUUAACACAUGCAAGUCGAGCGAAGCACUUAAGUUUGAUUCUUCGGAUGAAGACUUUUGUGACUGAGCGGCGGACGGGUGAGUAACGCGUGGGUAACCUGCCUCAUACAGGGGGAUAACAGUUAGAAAUGACUGCUAAUACCGCAUAAGACCACGGUACCGCAUGGUCCAGUGGUAAAAACUCCGGUGGUAUGAGAUGGACCCGCGUCUGAUUAGGAAGUUGGUGGGGUAACGGCCUACCAAGCCGACGAUCAGUAGCCGACCUGAGAGGGUGACCGGCCACAUUGGGACUGAGACACGGCCCAGACUCCUACGGGAGGCAGCAGUGGGGAAUAUUGCACAAUGGAGGAAACUCUGAUGCAGCGACGCCGCGUGAAGGAUGAAGUAUUUCGGUAUGUAAACUUCUAUCAGCAGGGAAGAAAAUGACGGUACCUGACUAAGAAGCCCCGGCUAACUACGUGCCAGCAGCCGCCGUAA
rnacentral:rRNA from 1 species